AAUAGUCAUGCUAAUUUCUCGCUGUUUCAAACUUUACCACGCAUUUCAUAUUUAAUAGAUGAAUCAUGUAGGAAUGCAAUUUGUUUCAAGUUUAAGAUGUUUUUCCAAUGCUCUACAGCAUGCUCUCUCAGAAGCUGAACAUAACCUAUGAUCAGGUACAAUUGUGGAUAAUGAACUUAGUUAGGAAUUCACAACUUGAUGCCUGCAUUGAUUCAGUGUCUGGAACUAUUGUUACGAUGACCAAUUAUGUUAGUAUGUAGGUUGGUCCACCCAUACAUGGCGCAAACUAAUUUAAGCAAUUGAUAGAAUACCGAUAUAUUCAUAUUAUCGAUUUAGGAGGGAAUUUUUCCAAUAUUUUCCUCAUAUGUAAAUAGGGUGCUUUGCCGUGAACUCUGGCUACAUAUAUUAACCUUGCAUGUAGUUCCGCUUAGGAAAAAUCUUUACUAUUUCUUCUCAGCUCUCAUGCGUAAUUUAGUAUUAAUGUUUGGACUACUUUUGACCUUCCAUUUCAUAUAAAUUAUUUCAAGUUGCUGUAAUGCAUUUCUAACGUAUUUGAUUGUUUUCUUACAUAAAUGCUAGAGAAAACAGAUCUGUGCUUCAUGUAGCUGUAAGUGCUCCAAGUGAUGAGGUCAUAAAAAGUGAUGGGGUCAAUGUGGUUCCUGAAGUUUGGGGCGUAAAGGAUAGAAUCAAACAGUUUUCAGAGACUUCUAGGGGCGGAUUAUGGCUAGGUUCAACAUUCCCUUCAACUCAGUAAAUGUUUUCAAACACUGAAGAUUGAUCAGUGCUUCUUAGAUUGUACGUUGGGCCAACUGGUAGAGCAUUCACAGAUGUUGCGUCGGUUGGUAUAGGUGGUACCUUUCUUGGUCCUUUGGGCUGAGUGGAAACGAAUAUAUACAGAAUUAGGUGAGUACAGUGUCACCUGGUGCUGUUGACGGAAGAAAAGGGGAACAGAAAGGAGGAACCGAAUGGAGCUGAACCAAUGGAGUUAAAUGUUUAUGAUUUUUGAAGGGCUUGGUUUGGCUUUCUCAAUGAAUAAUGUGGACGAGAGCUGUUACCGAACCAUCAAUGGCAACUGCACUUUUCAAAAAAUUGACCCUUUAAUACUGGCACUAGGAGUAUAUGAUACUAAAGAAAUUUGAUGACUGGUCAUGAACUACAAAGCCACUUUGCAGCCUUUAUCCGCUCAGUACACUUAUAUUGCAUAUCUUUACGAUUUCUCUGGUCCCUUAGCAACUUAGAAAUUUGUAUGACAUACAGUCAAUCUAUUUUGAGGAAAUUAUUAUUCUCUAUUGCUUGAUGACGAGAAGUUACAUCCUCAUUUCCUGCACAUACUCCAUAUGUACCCCUUGAUUGAGGUUGAUGGAUGAGUUGGUCCUGAAAAUUGCCUACAAGAUCAGUUUAUUUUCAGUUUUCAAUUAUUGUUAUUACUUUGCUGCUAAAUAUCAACACAAUUUCAUAACAGUUUUGGGCUAAAAAAUUGGAUCAGGUGGGUGCUAAUUUGGUUCAGUUGUUCGGUGCUCCAGGAUAUG